GACCCCUGUCUGGGCAGUGGGCAAAUAGGCACCUUAUUGGUGGUGGCGCUCUCACUUCAGUCAGGGGCCGAGAAGACGCUGUCCUUUGUUCGUCCUGGCGUGAUGUCUGGCUUGGUGGCCAAAGCUGUCUUAUGCCUAGGACUCCUAA